ACUCUUCCCUGAACAAGGAGGGCACCACGUCACGGGAUGGGACCCCAGACGGAAUAGAAGGUGAACACAAGCUGGCCAUGAGCAUUCCCCCACCUGCUGUUUUCUGACGACAUGCACAUUGGGACCAGCUGCCUUGUGUUCCUCUUGUUGCCGUGAGUUUCCCUCCAAGCUGGACUGUCGACCCAGACUGAGUCAACGCAAGCCUUCCUGAAGCCACCUCUGACGGCUACUCUGUCACAGCGCCAAGAAAAGGAACCGAUAUCACAGCCCAAGUCAGCACUGUUUACCAAACCUGGUGGUCCAAGGAUGCUACUAGAUCAGCACAAAGAGAAGCGUUUGGAAACAAAGGAGCAGCUGUGGGCUGGUGCAGAUCUAGGAGGAAGAAGUGACCAGAAACCGAGGACCAUAACAGGAGCCAGUCCUGCAGAAAAGUUCCAAAAGUAGUGAACAAAUGCAGGAGGGAAAUUUUUCACUUAUUUCAAAAGCUCCAAGAAGACAAAGGACGUUGGGCAUGAGAAGUACUCCUUUCAGGUUUUCAGGCUGGUGAGGUGCCUCAGUGGGUAAGGGAACUUACCCCCAAGCCUGAUGACCUGAGUCCAAUAUCUGGAUCCCACAGGCCGGAAGGAGAGAGCCAGCUCUCAGUAGUGUAAGGAAAUAGACCUCCUGUAUUGCAUGAGCGGGGCUGACAGUGAGUCCAGUGAGUACCUGGAUCUGUAACAGGCUACAGAACCUCGGAAGUCCACAAGAAGGGGAAGCACGUGCCCUGGCAACUUGGUUUUCGCCCUGACAGGAGUGACUAAUCUACAGCCUUGAGUAAGUUUAGUUUUCUGGGCUGCUUCUAGGUAAGUCCUUUUUGAGAAUGCUCAAGUCCCAUGACCAGUC